AUUGAACGCUGGCGGCAUGCCUAACACAUGCAAGUCGAACGGGGCAGCAAUGCCUAGUGGCGGACGGGUGAGGAAUACGUAGGAAUCUGCCCUUAAGUGGGGGAUAACCAGGGGAAACCCUGACUAAUACCGCAUGAUCUCUUCGGAGCAAAGAGGGGGACCGCAAGGCCUCUCGCUUCUGGAUGAGCCUACGUCUGAUUAGCUAGUUGGUAGGGUAAAGGCCUACCAAGGCGACGAUCAGUAACUGGUCUGAGAGGAUGAUCAGUCACACCGGAACUGAGACACGGUCCGGACUCCUACGGGAGGCAGCAGUGGGGAAUAUUGGACAAUGGGCGCAAGCCUGAUCCAGCCAUGCCGCGUGCAGGAAGAAGGCCUUCGGGUUGUAAACUGCUUUUGUCAGGGAAGAAAUCCCUUGGGUUAAUACCUCGGGGGGAUGACGGUACCUGAAGAAUAAGCACCGGCUAACUCCGUGCCAGCAGCCGCGGUAAAAC
rnacentral:rRNA from 1 species